GGGCAACUCUCAAAAGAGCCUACUUGAAAAUGCUGUUGAAAACACGUUUCAUGUCAUUCUGCAGAGGUUGUACCAUGGCUCAUGGGCCUCAGUAAGGAAACUACUGGCCAAAAUAUUACUUCAGCUGUAAUUGGCUCAAGGAACCUUUAUGGAAGCAGGGAGACUUUUGGCUAGUAUCAUCCCCUUUCUAUAUAAAUCUGCAGCAGGUAACUCCCCCUCUGGGACACAGAAAGGCUGAUCCUAUGGGACCAGGGCAGAGAAGGGUGCUGAAACAGGCCAUGAAGGAGGCCACGAAAGAUGAGGAGGUCAACAAGGCAUUAAUACCAGGACAUUUCAUUCUGGAACACUGCAGAACUAGCCUCCCACACAAUAAGCAUGGGAAAGCUGAAAACGAGGUUGAUGACAGUUCUGACAGACCCGGCACCUGCCCAGCAGUAACAAGACCAGCAGUCACACCUUCAGUGGAAACCUGGAGAGAAGAGGGAAAAUAAAAGGCACACCCCACUCCC
rnacentral:lncRNA from 1 species